AACAACGCUGGCGGCAUGCCUAAUACAUGCAAGUCGAACGAACACUUCGGUGUUAGUGGCGCACGGGUGCGUAACGCGUGGGAAUCUGCCCUUGGGUUCGGAAUAACAGUUAGAAAUGACUGCUAAUACCGGAUGAUGACGUAAGUCCAAAGAUUUAUCGCCCAGGGAUGAACCCGCGUAAGAUUAGCUAGUUGGUGAGGUAAAGGCUCACCAAGGCUACGAUCUUUAGCUGGUCUGAGAGGAUGAUCAGCCACACUGGGACUGAGACACGGCCCAGACUCCUACGGGAGGCAGCAGUAGGGAAUAUUGGACAAUGGGGGCAACCCUGAUCCAGCAAUGCCGCGUGAGUGAUGAAGGCCUUAGGGUUGUAAAGCUCUUUUACCCGGGAUGAUAAUGACAGUACCGGGAGAAUAAGCUCCGGCUAACUCCGUG
rnacentral:rRNA from 1 species